AAAAAAAAUCUGGAAACAAAGAAACUGGUUUUUUAGGUUAAUAUACAUUUUACAUUUUUGCUUUACUUCUUAAAAGGCUCUGAUGCACCUCUCCCCCUGUAAUAAACAACUAAAAUACCUCUGCCUAAGCAUAAUAAUGCCCUGUAAGCAAAGAGAUGAAUGCAAAUACUCAGUUAAUAUUAAACUUUGCUCUUAAAGAGAGCUAAAGAAAAAAAUCAUCUUAAUGACUGUUUCUUCAUGGAACACCUUAAAUGAUGUCCCCCUACUUUUACUCAAUGUAAAAAUCAGUGACUGGAGAAAGCCUCAAAGUCCAUGCUUUCCUCUUGUCUUGGGAAGAGGCUGGAGACUCCAUUAGGAAUUAUUGGGAAUAUUCUUAAAGUGACUACAGGCACUUGGUUUGAAAGCUAUGACACGGUUUGCAUUAUUAAAAAAAUUUUUUUUUAAUCUAGCCCAUCUUUCUUUUCUUUCUUUUAAACAAGUAGAACACCACCCUCUUACCCCCUCCAAGCCCCACCACCAAAUGGCUUGUACAAUUGAGACCUGUCCUUGGUCCACUGAAUUAAGACCCUAACAGAGCCAGCUGUGCUGGGAUUCAAACUAAUGACCGCAGACACAGAAGGACACUGUGGCAGCUGGUAGUUCUUUUUUCCCUGCCUCUUUAGUUCAGAUUGUAUGUGGGCAGUCUCUUAGCUCUCAGUUGUAUUGUGUUUGCUUACAGUUUAUACUCGGAUGUAUUGUAGACUUUCUCAGUACUUCAUUUGCUAAUUUCCUGUUCAUUUUCCUCAUAGGGCCAUAGCUGUUUUCUACUUUAGAGCAUUUGCAUGCCCAGGCAGCACUUGUUCACACAUUUCAUAGUGUUUAAAUGCCCUCUGCUUAUAGUUGUAACAGUUGGAGGAUAAUGCAAAGGAAGACGCUGCCUGGGAAUUCACCGUCUGUGGAAAUGCGCCCCAGAGAGGAAUAAAGCAGUCCUCACCUUGCUGUCCCCACCCGGACCCACUUUCCCCUCCCGCCUCGGCCCCCACCCCAACAU
ensembl:lncRNA